AAUGCAUGUCAUUUUGUAUGUCAAGUGGAGCUGACGAAAUACAGAACGAGGAUCUUCCUGAUCGCACAACCAUGUCGGAAGAGAAAGUAGGUCAGCUACAGAUAGAUUUUUACGAAUCUUUAAUCCGAGCGGCAAAUGAAGCGAUGCUGGAGCAAAAGAAAAAGAAUUCCUGUGCGUUGCUACUCAGUCUCGUUGCGUCGCCAUCCCUGGCACUUCCGGUUCAGUUCCCGCAGUCAUAACCAUAUCAAAGACUCUCAAGGAUGUGAAACGACUGCAAGCCACUAAGCAGGCUGUCAAACAUGCCAUGCAACUACUUGCGCGGGGUGCAGAAAAUAAAAAGUGGGCCGCGCCGGCUGGCUCAUCGGAUUCUCU